rnacentral:rRNA from 1 species
GACGAACGCUGGCGGCGUGCUUAACACAUGCAAGUCGAACGGGCCCGCCCCUGUUUUUGGGGGUGGGUUGAGUGGCGAACGGGUGAGUAUCACGUGAGUAACCUGCCCCCUGCUCCUGGAUAACUGCUUGAAAGGGCGGCUAAUACGGGGUGUGCCGGCUGGUCCGCAUGGGCCUGGUCGGGAUAGUUUCAUCUUCGGGUGUUUCGGUGGGGGAUGGGCUCGCGGCCUAUCAGCUUGUUGGUGGGGGGAUGGCCCACCAAGGCGGUGACGGGUAGCCGGCCUGAGAGGGUGGGCGGCCACACUGGGACUGAGACACGGCCCAGACUCCUGCGGGAGGCAGCAGUGGGGGGUAUUGCACAAUGGGCGGAAGCCUGAUGCAGCGACGUCGCGUGAGGGAUGGAGGCCUUCGGGUUGUGAACCUCUUUCUCCGGUGGUGAAGGCCCUGUCCGUUGCGGCGGGGUUGACGGUAGCCGGGUAUGAAGCGCCGGCUAACUACGUG